rfam:Octopus bimaculoides Scaffold267114_contig_1, whole genome shotgun sequence.
GGUUUCGUGGUGUAGUGGUUAUCACGUCUGCUUCACACGCAGAAGGCCGCGAGUUCGAGCCUCGCCGAAACCU